GCGAGGUGUUGUGGGUUUCUCUAAGUGUUGCUGUUGAGCCAUUGGUUCUCCUGGAGGAGCUCAUCAUGACGAGCUUCCCCAGUGUGAGUUCGACCGUGGUCACCAGAGAAGCUCAGGACCUUGUUGAAUCUGCUCCUGGUUUUGUUUGCAAGGCCCCAGUCUCCGCUGUGAGUCCGGAGUACACAGGAAAGGAAACCCAGAGAAUGCGUCCUCACCACAGUCACUGCCUUGGAGCCCUGCCUGCUCCUCUUCUUUCUGUUCAUGUUUCUGCCUUCUGGAUAAACAAUCAAAAGAAGAAGAAAAAGGAAGAGGAGGAAGAAGAGGAGAUGUUGGUGCCGCAGCUACUGACCCUACAUUUCAGGAGACAAUGGAGAUGCUGAGUUUCUAAGGAUGGGUGCUUUAUGAAGAACAGAGGUUGAUUCAGCUCAUCACCAGAGAUCAGGUAGCCCCGUCAUUUCAGUGUCUGCUGGGGGCUUCAUGGUGAAUGCAUCAGGAUGGUGGAACCAGGUGCUGCAGAGAUCACACGGAACAACGGGACAUUAGUGAGGUUUCCCCGUCAGCCUUGCUUUUUGAAUAACAACAUCCUCUCUUAGAAACUCACCUGGUCAGAGGGAAUCACAGUGACCUCAUGGAGGGAAAGGUCUGAUCAGGUAACCCCCUUGGCCUCACCCCUCUCCAUACCCUUGAUAUGGCCACACCUGAAGGCCAAGCUCCUGAGCCACAAGGCCCACAGGAACCACAUCCAAACCUCAGCAAAAGCCAAACCCAUGUGCUGUCAGUAUAUUCGCAAACUGAGACUCAAAACAAAUUCAAAUACCUGGAUUGGGAAUCUGGAGGAAGGCUCUAGCUUCAGUAGGGUCACUAGCUUGCUGGGUGACUUGGGUACAUCUGUUUUCCCUCUCUGGUUUCAACCUUUAUGUCUGUAAAUGCAGCCUUGAGAGCCAAGACUAAAAUGAGAACUAUGCCAGACACAGUGAAGAAGAAAAUAGGUAAAAUCAAAUUGUGCCAGAGGUAAAUACAUCCUUGGAAAUAAAUUUGUAAAUGCAUUUCAUAGGAGGAGCCUUGUACCCUCUCUGCCCUCUCCCUUGAUGUUCCUCUCCAACAUAUUUGUGUUUCUGAAUAAAUACUACACGUCAAAUGCCAAAAUUCCAUCUGCAUCCCCCUGCUGAGAAGUCAUAGUGCCACGUCUAUGACACGGCUCCGUUUCCAUGGGGACAAUAGUAUCGACAUAAUUCCAGCACUAUGACUGCUGGGUGUUUGGGAGACGGGUGAAAGCAAGGAGAAAGCAGUGUACGCACAUUUGCUGCUGUUCUAAUAACUGACAGCUACAGGAGUGAUGCUGCUGAAAAUAGCCAGUUGGAACCAGGCAGAUGCCCAACAGAGGCUGAGGUCUUUCUUCCUGAUUGCAGAAAAGAACACUGACCUCCUGAGCACUUCCUCCUUGAUGUUCUUGGAUUGCAUUGUUUUUCAUUUUUGUGUAAGUUUUUAAUACAACAUAAUUUGCAUCAGGCAACUGUCAGGCUUUUAUCUGCUUUAUUUCAUUGCCUAAAUCUUUCAUCUGGGUGGGGACUGCAUUAAACUCACCCUGAAUAAUAGCUUCUAAUAUUUAAAUCCAUUACUCAAAUUCAAUACUGCUGAGAAGCUGUCACUCCUACUCCAUCUGCAAAUGUGGGUAUUUAAAUGUAGAGGUUCUCCUGAAAUUUUCCACAGCGGGAGAAAAGGAAUCCAUUUAAAUAUAUACCUUGGACAGUGCAAAUUCUGUAAGAGUGAAAUUUUAAACAACCCAAGACCUGGAACCCAAGGCCUUCAUGCUGAGCUGCAUCUCCAGUCUAUUUCAUAUUUUUUAUUUUGAGGCAGGAUCUCAUUAAGUUGCCCGGGCUUGGCUCCAACUUGUAAUCCUCCUGCCUCAACCUCCGAGAGUGCUGGGGUUUACUAGUGUGUGUUGCUGUGCCUGGCUAAACAAUCUAUUUCUUUAUAAAGUUGGGAUUUUAAAAAAAUGUUGCUGAUCAUAAAAAUAAUUCAUUCUCCCCCCAAAAAAAUAAAAAUUUAAACAAGCACUGAAGAAGCUACAGUAGAAAGUAGUAUAUCCAAAAUUUAUGUCUUAUAGAGUCACUAUGUUAUCUCUUACUUUAGACAUUCACAUAGGUUGAAUGCCAUGAUUCUACAGCAGGCUGAAUUUUUCAAACAUGGCCACAACAAUAUGCCUGCCUUCAGUGCUCUUCCACAAGCAUCCCUGGUGCGCUCUCUCUCUCUCUCUCUCUCUCUCUCUCUCUCUCUCUUUUUAAGAGAUGUCGUUUCUCCACUUGUCUGAAUAUGAGGAGGCCUGGUGGGCUUCACAGAUUAGACACAGCAUCACACAAGAUCUGUGCACGGCUCCUAACAACUCAGAGACAAACCAUCCAGCAGAGCCCUUUGGAGGGCUGAUCUGGUUACACCAGAAGUAGAAUAAGGGCACAAGAGCCACAAAUGUCCCUGAACAACUUGAACUUAUAUAUGGCUGUGUUCCUUAAUACAAGCAUCAACUUCUGUAGAAAAACUUUAUUACUGGCAUAACCUAUGCCACAGCCUCCUCUGCUGUAACCAUCAUGGAACCGUGGGGCAGGGAGUUUCCACAGCACCUGAGCCGCUGGACAGUCUGUGCCAUCACUGAGGAACUGCCCUGGAAAGUGUCCCGGACCCCAGACCUUGGAAACGAGUGCAAUUUUUAAAAAGUGUACUAAUAUUGAGAUGCUGCACUGUUAACACGUAAAUAACCACCUAACUUUCCGCACCACACGUGGGUCACAGACACACUUGUCAAAUGCACAGGGGGCUGACAUCAGCUCCACACGUAACCUGAGUCACUUUGGUAGAGGGUUUAACAGUCCUAAGUCUUUCUGUAGUUUUCCCUCAUGUUCCUAAUAGUACAAACAUAUAUAAAAUGUGUGUAUGCAAAGUUAGACUUUAGUUUUCGUUUCACAAAAAAGGAGACUUUUUAUAUUCCUUUCUGCCUCUUGCAGUUCUUAAUAUGAAUGGUAGAAUGCAGUCAUCUGCUGGAGCCUGACUCAUGCGUUUUACUAAUGGUUCAUGGGAAUGAGCAGGAGAAUUUAUUCAGCCAGUAUUCUCUUCACAAGCACCCUCUUUUAUCUGAUUUUGUGCUAUUAGAAACAAUGCUGCAAUAAGCAAUUUAGCGGGUAGAUACAUUUUCUUUUAUUCUAUUGGCAUGCUCAGAAUUUCACUCAAUACAGACUCAUACAUCUAAUUUCUUUCACUUCGUAUGCUUUUGAGAUUCAUCCAUUAUUUUGAGUGUAUUCAAAAUCUGUUACUUCCUAUUACAGAAUUCCAUAGUGCAGUUAAACAAAAAUGUGUUUAUCCAUUCAUCCCUUUUGUCAGUUAUAAAGUAUCCUGCUGUAAGUUUUUCUGUGCGUGUCUUGUACACAUGUUUUUAUUUACCUUGGGGAAAUAUCUAGAAAUGAAAACUUCUGAGACAUAAGGGAUAAAGUUAGAGCUCCGGCAAUACUAUUUUCUCCAAUGACUACCAUUUUGCCUUUUCACCAGCCUGACUGCUGUGGUUUAUACCAAGAAUAUGCCCCAAGAGCGUCACCUGCUAGUGGUCAGGCUCAUGGAAGGUGAAUGGUGGGGAGCUCUAGCUGCCCUGCUCUGAGGAGGUGGGGCCUGGUUAGGAGGUCCCUGGGAAACGACCUGGAGGGUUGUACACCACUGCCACCUCCUCCUCCACCCACUUCUCUCUUCACGAGCAGCUCUUCUCCUCUGAGCCCCUCUGCCACACUGCUCUUGCCCUGGAGCCGGCCCACCCAAAUAACCCUCUCCUCCUCUAAGUCGUGGUCUCAGGGAUCUACCUCAGAACUGUGGAAACAACGGAGGCGCUCAGCAGUACAAGGCACUGUCAGCAUUUUUCAGGGGGGCCAUUCCAGCACGCAUGUCACGGCAGCCUGCACAGGCACUGAAUUGGCACCUGUGAUGGAGAGUGAUGUUUUAUGUGCUUCUUAACCAUUCCCAUAUCUUCACUUGUAAAACAUUUGCUCAAAUAUUUGGUCCUUGUUUUACAAAGGCCUAUUUUUAUGGGGCUGUUUGACUCCUUGUUCUUCAGU